rnacentral:rRNA from 1 species
GACGAACGCUGGCGGCGUGCUUAAUACAUGCAAGUCAACUGAACUUUAGGUAGCAAUAUUUAAAGGGAGGUGGCGCACGGGUGAGUAACACGUAGGUAAUCUGCCUUCAGGACUGACAUAACUCCGCGAAAGCGGGACUAAAAAUCAGAUGAUGCAGCGGCUACGACAUCGAGACAGUUGUUAAACCUUCGGGGCCUGAAGAUGAGCCUGCGUCUGAUUAGGUAGUUGGAGGGGUAAUAGCCCACCAAGCCUGCGAUCAGUAGCUGGUCUGAGAGGAUGAUCAGCCACACUGGAACUGAGACACGGUCCAGACUCCUACGGGAGGCAGCAGUAAGGAAUAUUGCUCAAUGGCCGAAAGGCUGAAGCAGCAACGCCGCGUGGAGGAUGAAAUACUUUAGUAUGUAAACUCCUGUAAGAGGGGAAAAAUAUACAGCUAUGCUGUGUUGAUUGUACCCUCAGAGUAAGCACCGGCUAACUACGUGCCAG